CGGGUGAGUAACGCGUGGGUAACCUGCCUUAUACAGGGGGAUAACAACCAGAAAUGGUUGCUAAUACCGCAUAAGCGCACAGGACCGCAUGGCUCGGUGUGAAAAACUCCGGUGGUAUAAGAUGGACCCGCGUUGGAUUAGCUAGUUGGCAGGGUAACGGCCUACCAAGGCGACGAUCCAUAGCCGGCCUGAGAGGGUGAACGGCCACAUUGGGACUGAGACACGGUCCAGACUCC
rnacentral:rRNA from 1 species